GGUGGCUCAGUGGUAGAGUGCUUGUCUCGUAUACAUGAGGCCCUGGGUUCAAUUACUCAGUACCA
rnacentral:tRNA from 1 species